rnacentral:rRNA from 1 species
GAUGAACGCUGGCGGCGUGCCUAAUACAUGCAAGUCGAGCGAAGAGAUGAGGUGCUUGUACCUCCGACGUUAGCGGCGGACGGGUGAGUAACGCGUGGGUAAUCUACCUAUGAGAGUGGGACAACUUCGGGAAACGAGUGCUAAUACCGGAUAAAAUCUUGAAACACAAGGUUCAAGAGUGAAAGAUGGAUUUGCAUCACUCAAUGAUGGUAUCCCGUUCUCUUUAGCUGGUGGGUAGGGUAAGGGCCUACCAAGGGAAGAUAGAGUGCCCGCCUGGGAGGGGUGAUCGCCCACACUGGAACUGGGACACGCCCCAGCCUCCUAGGGAGGGCGGCGGAAGGGAAUUUUGGGCAAUGAGCGAAGUCUUAACGGAGAAACGCCGGGUGGGUAAGGAGGGUCUUCGGAUCGUAAACCUCUGUUAUUGGGAAGAAACAAAUUUGGAAUGAACAACGCACCUAUUGACGGUAACUACUCAGAAAGCCACGGCUAACUACGUG